GAACUCCGCAAAUUGACACCGUAACUUCGGGAGAAGGUGUGCCGCUGGCGGUUAGUGACUUCGCGUCACGAAGCUGUCGGUGGUCGCAGUGAAAUGGCGGUUGUGACUGUUUACUAAAAACACAGGACUCUGCGAAGUCGUAAGACGACGUAUAGGGUCUAUGCCUGCCCGGUGCUGGAAGGUUAAGGGGAUAUGUCAGCGCAAGCGAAGCAUUGAACCGAAGCCCCAGUAAACGGCGGCCGUAACAAUAACGGUCCUAAGGUAGCGAAAUUCCUUGUCGGGUAAGUUCCGACCUGCACGAGGGCAUAACAACAUCCGCACUGUCUCGACCAGGGACUCAGCGAAAUUACAUUGGGGGUGAAGAUGCCCUCUACCCGCGGAAAGACGGAAAGACCCCAUGAACCUUUACUGCAACUUGGCAGUGAUUUUCGGGUUGUUCUGCGUAGGAUAGGUGGGAGGCUUUGAAGCCGGGCUUCCGGGUUCGGCAGAGCCAACGUUGAAAUACCACCCUGAAUAAUCUGGAAAUCUAACCUGCGCCCAUGAUCUGGGCGAGGGACACUGCCUGGUGGGCAGUUUGACUGGGGCGGUCGCCUCCUAAAUUGUAACGGAGGCGUGCGACGGUUCCCUCAGGCUGAUUGGAAACCAGCCGUAGAGUGCAAACGCAUAAGGGAGCUUUACUGCGAGACUGACAAGUCGAACAGUUGCGAAAGCAGGUGUUAGUGAUCCGGUGGUACCACAUGGAAGGGCCAUCGCUCAUCGGAUAAAAGGUACUCUGGGGAUAACAGGCUGAUCGCGCCUGAGAGUUCACAUCGGCGGCGCGGUUUGGCACCUCGAUGUCGGCUCAUCGCAUCCUGGGGCUGGAGCAGGUCCCAAGGGUUUGUCUGUUCGCCAAUUAAAGCGGUACGCGAGCUGGGUUUAAAACGUCGUGAGACAGUUUGGUCCCUAUCUUCCGUGGGCGCAGGACACUUGAGAGGAGCUAUCCAUAGUACGAGAGGACCUGAAUGGACGAACCUCUGGUGCUCCGGUUGUCACGCCAGUGGCAUAGCCGGGUAGCCAUGUUCGGAACAGAUAACCGCUGAAGGCAUAUAAGCGGGAAGCUGGCCUCAAGACUAGGUGUCCCUGACGCAAGUCACUAAAGGCCCCUCGAAGACUACGAGGUUGAUAGGCUCGGUGUGGAAGCGCUGCGAGGCGUGGAGCUAACGAGUACUAAUAGGCCGUGCGACUUGACCCC
rnacentral:rRNA from 1 species